UCAGCUUUGGUACACAAAAG
rnacentral:snRNA from 1 species